AUCUAUGGUCAUGAACCCUGAACAAGCCGGAUCCUGUCUGAUCUCGGAAGCUAAGCAGGGUCGGGCCUGGUUAGUACUUGGAUGGGAGACCACCUAGGAAGACCAGGUGCUGUAGACA
rnacentral:rRNA from 1 species